GACUGUUGAAAAUGGAUUUAGCUAUUUAAAUGAAAUAAUUAUAUGUAAUAAACCUAUAAUUAGUGAUGCAUUUGUUACAAGGGGAUCAAAAGCAAGAAAGGAAGGAAGGAAGUUAUCAGAUUAGUAACUGUUGGCAUGUUAUUUGCAUGCUCAGUGGGCUGUGCUGUUGGGUUUGGUUUCUUGCAUCCUGUUGCAUUCUUGUAAACGGUUUCACUUAGCUAGAAAACCACCACAUGCCUAUGAUGAAUCAAUUAGUCAGGGUCUUUUUUAUUAACUAUUUUCAUAUUUGUCAUGUUGAUUUUGAGACCAAAGCUCAUGGAAGAACUUUCAGAAGACCCUUGAAUAGCAACUAAAGGAUAGAAACCUACCCUCAACAAGUUAACAUGAAGACAGCAGCAAAAUAUGGUUGUGGCUGGAAAUGACAGAUAAGUUUGUUUUAAUGAAACAAAUCGCUUGAUAUGCUUUUAUGGAUAUUUAUUUAUUAACAAAGCCUGUAAUAAGCAUGUAAUAAAUGUGGUAUUACAAUCUUAUUAGUUGUAAAAAUGAAAGAUUUUGUGACUCCUACUGAUUCGGUCUAGAAAUAAUCAUCGUAUAUUAUACAUUUAUUUUACAGUUAAACAUUAUGUGUUUAACUUAUAAAGUGGUAUAAUUAUUAUUUAUUUAUAUUACAAUUUUAUUUUGAUAGCCAUAUGUUUUUAUUCGUAAUAAUUUUUUGUUGCUAAGUUUUGGAGGACCUUCGUUAGAUGGCGCACCCACUUAUUGUCAUUAAGAAAAAGUUCCGGUUCUCAUGGGUACAUUAAACUGUCUCCCUCAUCAACCCCCAGUGGGUCAAAUUAAGACCCCUGUCCAGUGUGUGGAGAACCCUAAAGGAUUGGGUGGGGUGAUAAUAAAUGACCGGGAGAUGUUUGCAAUGAACAAACAACACUUGGUGGCAGUUCUUCUCUCUAGAGGUGAAAAACUCUGUCAGACCAGUUCUGUUUCAAGUGAAGACGAUAAAGAGAAAUGCCUCCCAAGACCUUAACAUCUCACCUUUUAUACUUCAAAUAAAGGUCUUUUACCAUCA